rnacentral:misc_RNA from 1 species
GAUGAAGAACGCAGCGAAAUGCGAUACUUGGUGUGAAUUGCAGAAUCCCGUGAACCAUCGAGUCUUUGAACGCAAGUUGCGCCCGAAGCCAUUAGGCCGAGGGCACGCCUGCCUGGGCGUCACACGUCGUUGCCCCCCCAUCUACUCCUUCGGGAUUGCGGGGGGCGGAUGAUGGCCUCCCGUGCGCCUUGUCGCGCGGUUGGCAUAAAUGCCAAGUCCUCGGCGACGCACGCCACGACAAUCGGUGGUUGCGAAACCUCGGUUGCCCGUCGUGUGCGGUCGUCGCGCAUCGAGGGCUCGAAAAAAUUGCCGGGCUCCGGCUCGGCUUUCAACGCGACCCCAGGUCAGGCGGGGUUACCCGCUGAAUUUAAGCAUAUCAAUAAGCGGAGGA